rnacentral:rRNA from 1 species
UGGGGAAGUAUUGGACAAUGGGCGCAAGCCUGAUCCAGCCAUGCCGCGUGAGUGAUGAAGGCCCUAGGGUUGUAAAGCUCUUUCACCGGUGAAGCGGUAACCGGAGAAGAAGCCCCGGCUAACUUCGUGCCAGCAGCCGCGGUAAUACGAAGGGGGCUAGCGUUGUUCGGAAUUACUGGGCGUAAAGCGCACGUAGGCGGAUUGUUAAGUGAGGGGUGAAAUCCCGGGGCUCAACCCUGGAACUGCCUUUCAUACUGGCAAUCUCGAGUCCGAGAGAGGUGAGUGGAAUUCCGAGUGUAGAGGUGAAAUUCGUAGAUAUUCGGAGGAACACCAGUGGCGAAGGCGGCUCACUGGCUCGGUACUGACGCUGAGGUGCGAAAGCGUGGGGAGCAAACAGGAUUAGAUACCCUAGUAGU